rnacentral:rRNA from 1 species
CACGUAGGGGGCAAGCGUUGUCCGGAUUUAUUGGGCGUAAAGAGCUCGUAGGCUGUUCGAUAAGUUGGGUGUGAAACCUCCAGGCUCAACCUGGAGACGCCACCCGAUACUGUCAUGACUAGAGUCCGGUAGGGGAGCGUGGAAUUCCUGGUGUAGCGGUGAAAUGCGCAGAUAUCAGGAGGAACACCAAUGGCGAAGGCAGCACUCUGGGACGUGACUGACGCUGAGACGCGAAAGCGUGGGGAGCAAACAGG